GCAGUAGCCACGGUAAUACGUAGGGUGCAAGCGUUAAUCGGAAUUACUGGGCGUAAAGCGUGCGCAGGCGGUUAUAUAAGACAGAUGUGAAAUCCCCGGGCUCAACCUGGGAACUGCAUUUGUGACUGUAUAGCUAGAGUACGGCAGAGGGGGAUGGAAUUCCGCGUGUAGCAGUGAAAUGCGUAGAUAUGCGGAGGAACACCGAUGGCGAAGGCAAUCCCCUGGGCCUGUACUGACGCUCAUGCACGAAAGCGUGGGGAGCAAACAGGAUUAGAUACCCCAGUAGUCCCUGUCUCUUAUCA
rnacentral:rRNA from 1 species